GGGGCCGAAAUUGGAUUCGACCGGACAGGGAAGGCUUGUUGCUGCGCGUCGUGGAGCAUCCUUGCCACGUAAAAAGGAUGCAAACUAAUAAUUGCUGACACUCAGUUAGCACUCGCCGCGUAAUUGCGGUGACGAUCGUCAGCUUGACGCCCGAUACGGCUGGCGAUCGACGAUCAUCGGGCUGGCUCCAAUGGGCUGGCAUACUUCGGCGGAGCGAGAAACUUGUAUGCCAUGGUGUUUUAGGAGGCGGUCGUUAGUCGCCUAAUUCACCAAGAUCAAAUAACGACUACACGUGUAGACGCGGCUUGCUGACUGUUCCGGCACGGGGGUUCGAUUCCCCCCGGCUCCACUU
rnacentral:tmRNA from 1 species